rnacentral:lncRNA from 1 species
GCCAAGGAAUGUAGGCGGCCUCCAGAAAGGUGAAGAAAUUGAGGCAUAAGAGAGAUUCAGAAACUUGGCCAAGGUCACAAGGCUGGCAGCCCAGGGAGGAAGGGGUUAAACUGAUGGCCACACACCAACAUAGAGGCCAAGCUGGGCUCCAGCCCCAUCCGCACUUGAAAUCCAGCGCCUGUCCGUCACCAUCACCAAGUAAGCCUGGGCUGCUGAUUCGCCAUGACCUGAAGUAGACACCAGCAUAAGCAGACGGGUCACCUUGUGCUUGUUUACGUUGUCUUCAUCCUCAUCACCUCCCAGUCUCUUCCCCAGAGAUCUUUGGCCAUCCUGGGACAGGCAGAAGCUGAAUGGGUCAGAUUCGCCAUUGUUAGUCUUCUCUGCUCACAAGCUCUCAGAGGAGGCAGCCCAUGAGGGUGGCCACAGCUCUGAGGACCACUGCCCUCGUCUCUGCUCUGGGCCAGCCUAGCCACCUGCUGCCCCUGCCCCAGGAAUGGGAAAAUGAUGGACAAGCCAGGGACUGCAGCAACAGGUCAAAGAGAUGAGGGUUCUGAUUGAAAUAUUCCUUGUCGAUAGACAAGACAUUUGCGUGAUGCAAGAUAUCUCUGUCUGAGCCCUUUUUCAGCCCAGAACGAGAGGGAUCAGAGCAUUCCCUAACCCCCCAGAUGGUUGCCCUGGGCAGGACUCAAUGGACGGUAGCCUCCUCAGCAACAGCAAAUUCAAGGGCAUCAGGUUUUUAGCAGCAUUCAGGGGACACUGGGUCAGGGCUCACCUGUCCCAGGUGAGCAGUGAUUAUAAAUCUGACAAUAAAUA